rnacentral:lncRNA from 1 species
CCCAGGGCAGUGACGCGGGGAGCCACCAAGCAGGACCCCCCCGGGGACAGGAAAGGCCACGCUGGGCGCAACAGAGCGCGGUGCCCCCUGGCCACCUCGGCAGCGCGCCCCAUUCCCUGGGCUACCCUGCCACGGGGUGGAAGAGCAGCUGAGAAGCACGGGCCAGUCCUUCUCCUCUGCAGGGAGAACGGGCAGGGAGGCUCCAGGAAGAAGCGGCACCGCCUCCUCGAGCCGUAAGAAAAGAAAGAAGGGCUCUCCCCCAGUAGCCUGUAUGCAGCAGGCACUCAAUAAAUCCAUGUUAGACCAGUGACUGCUUGCCUACCCAAGGGCACCGUGAUGGCUCAUUUCAUGCAUCAACUCGGCCGGCUCAUGCUGUCCAGUUGUUGGUCACUCAGGCCUGGCCGUUCGUGUGAAGGUAUUUUGGGGCCAGGCCGAGGACCCGCCAUCAGUUGACCGCACGUGAAGGCGGUGACCCUCCCCUCGAGCUCACACCCGAGGGCUUAGGUGUGAGAGCUUUCCUGGACCCUGCAGGAAUGUCCAGCCUCUGGCCUGCCCGGCCAGCUUUGGCCUUGCAGCUCCCCCAGUCCUGGACACACACGUACCCUGUUGCUUCUCUUCACUGGAGAAGCCCGGCUGGUACAGCCAGGAGGCCUGGCUCCUUGUCAGCUUUUCCCGGCAGCCAUGGGCUCUAAGGACUGUUUUCCCUGCCCCUAAAGGGGCGUCUGCUUUUAGGUUUGAUCCGCGCAGCACUAUGGAGUCACCUAAACGUCGCCUCCAUGGGGCUCAGCCACGUUUCACAGCUCACAGCGGCGGCCUGCGCAGCGCCAGAGACGCCCUCAGCACCUUGUAGCAGCUACUCGCCAGCUUCCCCCCUCACAGGUGAGGGUGCUGGCACACUGGCACAGCAGCAUGUUGGCCCCACUGGUUUGCCUAUCGCCUCCUGUAACAGUUUGACAUGGCUAUGAAUUCCAAAAAUAGAUAUUGAGUUAUGUUUAUAAUCUGGUCUGUACCUGGGCGUGAUUAAGUUAUGGUUAGGGCUUUGAUUGGGCCAUGUUAGUAGGGUGUUGAGUUCCCACCCCUUGGGGACUCACAGAUAGAAGGCACGGCAAAGGACAGAGUUGGGAGUUCUUAAUGUCGGAGUUUUAAUGUUGGAGUUUGAUGCUGAAGCCUUAAGCUGGAGCCCCAGGAAGUAAGCUCACAGAGGAAAGAGAAGCUAGCCCCAGGAAGAGAGGAACCCUGAGCCUGGAGAGAAGCAAGACCCUGGAAGAGAGGAACCCAGGA